AAGGGCAUCUUGGGUAGUUCAAAAAUAUAACCCUCAGAUGAGGUGAAGUUCGAGACUUGGAAUUGUAUUUCCCUACAGAAGCCCUGCCUCUUCUUCUUCUUCUUCUUCCAGUCGACACAGGGAAACCCUACAAUCCAAACCCUCUUACAAUGGGAGAUAUUAUUCAUGUAGGUUUCUUCUUGAAUUUGCUACGCCUCAAAGUGGAAUACCGACUCCUAUUUAUGCCGGAAUGUUGGAGCCCGGCGAACAUUUGGUUAUGUGGAUAGUGGGUGUUCCAUGAUGGUCUUUCCAUCGUGCUUGAGCUUCCGAUUGAGAUCAAUCGCAAAUAAAGAGACAAAUAUGUCAUCUUUCCUUCAGAUGACGAUGAUGAUGAUGAUUCUCACGUUGAUGACAAUAUAUGGUAUGGUAAAUUGUCUCCUAGUACCCUGCAGCAUCAAGUCUUUUGCCAGAUCAACAGGAUUGGAUUAUGAAUCAUCAAUUAUCAGAAACAGAGGAGUGAAUCGGUUGCUUAACUAACUACAGGGUAAAGUUUUGAAACCAGAGUGAAAUAUGGAUUCUCCACCAGGUUUCUCUUUGAAGCAGAAACGUGAACAUCGACGUAAGCAUGAUAAGUCAGAACAUGAAGAGAAUGCAACCGCAAAGCCUGGACCCGACAUCUUGAAGUCAAACAAACAGAGUACAAGUACAAGUAAGGUUGAGGUAGGUCCAGCGUUUAAUGGUGUUGUGGAAGAAUAUUUCGAUGGCGGGGUUCGAAUGAAGGUGAAGGUAGGAGAUACUGAGAUGAAGAGUGUUGCAUUUUAUCCCGUCCCUCCGCCAAAUGUUGUUCCCCCUGAUAUUAAGAUGGUGACGAGAAAGGACCUUGCUAUACCAGCCGUGCAUUCUUCUUUACUUCAUUUCUCAGCACAAGGUAAGAGGCAACGUGCUGAGGUGAAAAAGGAGAAACCUGCAGAUCCUUAGAUGUGCUAGGCUUUUCGGUUUUUCAAUGUGUGUUUGUAACUUGGUGUUCCAAUUUCAAUUUGAACUUUUAUAAUGUUCAAGAAUUGCGACUCCAGUUUCUCUGGAGAGCUUUGUUUGGGAUCCAGACAAUGAACAAGUUGCUACCGUUGGUUGUGGUUUAUCUCCUUUCCAAAAUCUUGUUUUGCUUUC